rnacentral:lncRNA from 10 species
CUUGAGUUAUAUGGCUUAAAGUACAGAGGAAAGCCCACAAUUUAGGAAUGAAAUUGUUUUCUGGCUCUUAUCUUAGGGAAGAGGAAGAGAAAAAAGGAACUAUCUUUGACUUUAUCCAAUAAGAACUUGUGAAAGUUGUCAGAGUCAAAAUGGAGCCACUUGUGUUAAAGACUGUGCCAAGUGGCAUCGAGGAUGGCCGUGAACGGAGGGUUCUUAUGCACAAAUGCCUGACGGCAACGACUAUCACAAAAGACUCCGCAAAAACCACAACCUUGUGAAAGAAAGGCCCACCACAACCUUACUACACACAAAAAAACUUCUGCAAGGACAUCUGCACAGCAACUUCCUGUCUAACCUUGGACCGGCACCACCCUUGUUAUGGAUCCUUAUAGCUAACAAUAAUUAUCACAAAACAAUUUUAUAAUCUUCUUCAUUUUUCCUUUAAAAAUAUUUGUCUUCCUUUACCUACCUGAGCUGAGCAUGCAUGUAGUUUGCUAUGGUAUGUAUAUUGCUGUUACAAUGCCCAUUUUUGAAUAAAUAUCCUUUUCUUUCAGAGAGCCUCUCUCUGUUUUCUAAUGUGACAAACUCAAUUCUUAAGCUAAAGCUUAAGGAAGUAUUUUACAGCUUCCUCAAACAGUCAUCGGUUCUGUUAAAUAUUCUGACUUCCAGGUCCAGUGCAGACAUG